GACGAACGCUGGCGGCGUGCUUAACACAUGCAAGUCGAACGAUGAAGAAAAGAAUUGAAGCUUCGGCAGAAAUUCAUUUCGGAUUAGUGGCAGACGGGUGAGUAACGCGUGAGCAACCUACCUCUUACAAAGGGAUAGCCUCGGGAAACCGGGAUUAAUACCAUAUAACAUUGCGACGAAGCAUUUCGAUGCAAUCAAAGCUACGGCGGUAAGAGAUGGGCUCGCGUCCCAUUAACCAGAUGGUGAGGUAACGGCUCACCAUAGUAACGAUGGGUAACCGGGCUGAGAGGGUGAACGGUCACACUGGAACUGAGACACGGUCCAGAAUCCUACGGGAGGCAGCAGUGGGGAAUAUUGCACAAUGGAGGGAACUCUGAUGCAGCGACGCCGCGUGAGUGAUGAAGGAAUUCGUUUCGUAAAACUCUGUUCUAUGGGAAGAAAAGGACUGUACCAUAGGAGAAAGCUCCGGCUAAAUACGUG
rnacentral:rRNA from 1 species